UUUUUCGUCGCAUCAGACGCUGACAGCCACUGUCCAAACGUCCUUAAUUUACGAGUUCGGAGUGAGAACGGGUUGGUUCCCAAAACCAAUUCAAUUUGUUUGUAUAUUGCAGAUUUGGCGCAUUUCAUUUUUGGUUCGUAUACACUCUGCCAACUGUGACACCAGUGGAGCGAUGCAUCUUGGGAGAUUUCUCAUGACAUGACAACAUCAAAACAAGUAGGAGGAGUUAAACAGGGUGUCUGACGCUACAUCUACACGACUACGUUUUCAUUUUUAAGCAGCCUUUUUAGACCAAAACAAUCUCUGUCCACACAAGAGUUUCAGCUCCAGUUGCAGAACUUAUCUCCGUUCAUAUUAACACGUCUGACAUCACAGAUCACAUGACCGUUGAGACACACUGGGCAUGUGCGUGCCGGUGUAAACAGGAAGCAGAUUGUCUGACGUUACUCUGCGGUUAAAAAUCAUGGAUGUAGAAGUUGAAAAUAC